rnacentral:tRNA from 1 species
AUAGGAAGAGCUCAGUGGUAGAGCACAUGCUUAGCAUGCACGAGGUCCCAGGUUCAAUCCCCAGUACCUCUA